rnacentral:rRNA from 1 species
GAUCAACGCUGGCGGCGUGCCUAAUACAUGCAAGUCGAGCGAAGCGGGGACGGGUGAGUAAUACGUGGAUAACUUCCUAUACGACUGGGAUAAUUUCGGGAAACCGGAGCUAAACCGGAAACUAAUAGAUUGAUCCUCGCUGCAUGAGCUAGUUGGGAAGGUAACGGCUUACCAAGGCUACGAUGCAUAGCCGACCUGAGAGGGUGAUCGGCCACACUGGAACUGAGACACGGUCCAGACUCCUACGGGAGGCAGCAGUAGGGAAUAUUCCGCAAUGGGCGAAAGCCUGACGGAGCAACGCCGCGUGAGUGAUGAAGGUCUUCGGAUCGUAAAACUCUGUUAUUAGGGAAGCGGUACCUAAUCAGAAAGCCACGGCUAACUACGUGCCAGCAGCCGCGGUAAUAC